ACAUGCAGAGAACUUUACCAGAGAUGGAUUGGUGCCUUCGGGAACUCUGACACAGGUGCUGCAUGGCUGUCGUCAGCUCGUGUCGUGAGAUGUUGGGUUAAGUCCGUAACGAGCGCAACCCUUGUCCUUAGUUACCAGCACGUUAUGGUGGGCACUCUAAGGAGACUGCCGGUGACAAACCGGAGGAAGGUGGGGAGUGACGUCAAGUCAUCAUGGCCCUUACGGCCUGGGCUACACACGUGCUACAAUGGUCGGUACAAAGGGUUGCCAAGCCGCGAGGUGGAGCUAAUCCCAUAAAACCGAUCGUAGUCCGGAUCGCAGUCUGCAACUCGACUGCGUGAAGUCGGAAUCGCUAGUAAUCGUGAAUCAGAAUGUCACGGUGAAUACGUUCCCGGGCCUU
rnacentral:rRNA from 1 species